rnacentral:tRNA from 1 species
AUAUUUUAGGGGAAGAGCCCAAUAAUUUUUGAUUUUUUUAGAUGUAGAUAUAAAUUCUUUAAAAUAUA